UGGGGAAUAUUGGACAAUGGGCGAAAGCCUGAUCCAGCAACGCCGCGUGAGGGAUGACUGCCUUCGGGUUGUAAACCUCUUUCAGCGGGGACGAAGCGAAAGUGACGGUACCCGCAGAAGAAGCACCGGCCAACUACGUGCCAGCAGCCGCGGUAAUACGUAGGGUGCGAGCGUUGUCCGGAAUUAUUGGGCGUAAAGGGCUCGUAGGCGGUUUGUCACGUCGGGAGUGAAAACUCAGGGCUUAACCCUGAGCCUGCUUCCGAUACGGGCAGACUAGAGGUAUGCAGGGGAGAACGGAAUUCCUGGUGUAGCGGUGAAAUGCGCAGAUAUCAGGAGGAACACCGGUGGCGAAGGCGGUUCUCUGGGCAUUACCUGACGCUGAGGAGCGAAAGUGUGGGGAGCGAACA
rnacentral:rRNA from 1 species